ACCUGGCUGGCUCAAAUGGUAGAGCACGUGAUUCCUGGUCUUGGUGUUGUGGGUUCUAGCCCCACGCUGGGUG
rfam:Felis catus breed Abyssinian Contig253381.1, whole genome shotgun sequence. [26-MAY-2016]